rnacentral:rRNA from 1 species
CAGUCGCCACGGUAAAACGUAGGUGGCAAGCGCUGUCCGGAAUUAUUGGGCGUAAAGGGCUCGCAGGCGGUUUCUUAAGUCUGAUGUGAAAGCCCCCGGCUCAACCGGGGAGGGUCAUUGGAAACUGGGAAACUUGAGUGCAGAAGAGGAGAGUGGAAUUCCACGUGUAGCGGUGAAAUGCGUAGAGAUGUGGAGGAACACCAGUGGCGAAGGCGACUCUCUGGUCUGUAACUGACGCUGAGGAGCGAAAGCGUGGGGAGCGAACAGGGUUAGAUACCCGCGUAGUCCCUGUCUCUUAUAC